AACAACCUACCCUCGAGUGGGGAAUAACACCGCGAAAGCGGUGCUAAUACCGCAUAAUAUCUCUGAACUGCAUGGUUUUGAGAUCAAAAGCGCAAGUUGCUUGAGGAGGGGUUCGCGCCUGAUUAGCUUGUUGGUGAGGUAACGGCUCACCAAGGCUGCGAUCAGUAGCCGGCCUGAGGGGGUGAA
rnacentral:rRNA from 1 species